AGAGUUUGAUCCUGGCUCAGGAUGAACGCUGGCGGCGUGCCUAACACAUGCAAGUCGAACGUGAAGCUAAAAAUGAUUACUUCGGUUUGAUUUUUUGGUGGAAAGUGGCGAACGGGUGAGUAACACGUGGGUAAUCUGCCUCGAAGUGGGGGAUAACUAUUGGAAACGAUAGCUAAUACCGCAUAGUCUUUUCUUUAUGGGAAUAGAGAUGAGUAAAGCUCCGGCGCUUCGAGAGGAGCCUGCGUCCAAUUAGCUAGUUGGUGGGGUAAAAGCCUACCAAGGCGACGAUUGGUAGCUGGUCUGAGAGGACGAUCAGUCACACGGGAACUGAGACACGGUCCCGACUCCUACGGGGGGCAGCAGUGAGGAAUAUUGCACAAUGGGGGGAACCCUGAUGCAGCAACGCCGCGUGGAGGAUGAAGGCUUCGGUUGUAAACUCCUUUUCUGGGGGAAGAGAACAGGACGGUACCCCAGGAAUAAGUCACGGCUAACUACGUGCCAGCAGCCGCGGUAAUACGUAGGUGGCGAGCGUUAUCCGGAAUUACUGGGCGUAAAGCGCGCGCAGGCGGUUGUACAAGUUCGGCGUGAAAGCUCCCGGCUUAACUGGGAGAGGUCGUUGAAAACUGUAUAACUUGAGGCGAUGAGAGGGGUACGGAAUUCCAGGUGUAGUGGUGGAAUGCGUAGAUAUCUGGAGGAACAC
rnacentral:rRNA from 1 species